UUUAGCUAAUCUAUCUGCUUAACCCCCCAAAGGCAGGAAAAAAGCACACAAACUUAUUUAUACAUUCAGAGGUACAAAAGGUGAAUGUGUAAUCCUUAAGUCCUCGAAUGACAGGUGUUGAAGGGAGCGGAGUAGAUAUGCUUCAUUCAGACUUUGGAAUGUCUGAGGUCGUACCCCAAGGCCAGAAACUCUACCUUCUAGAAUGACCGAAGUGCCAUCUUCUGAUUUUAAAUCAACUCGAUAGAUGAGGAUGAGGAUGCCCAAUGUUUGGCCCUUUCUUAAACUUGGAAUCAAAAAGCAUAGACAACGGAUUUGUGUUUGGCCACCAUUUGUGCACAAAAUAUGGAGUUAUGUUUUUAGUAACAGUUCAUUGUUGCUAUAUAGAGGGAAUUGAUGGGCUAGAAUCCUCCUUGGAGAUACACCCCUGCCAUUGCCCAUGUCCUUCAUGUCCUUCCUUCCUUUCGAGGAUUGCAGUGCCUCGUCGCAUCGAGAUUUCAAAGGAAAAGCCGUAUGUUUUGUUUAAACGACAAGAACAAAUUACAAGGUGUUAUUCGACUUGUAAUUUAUUGUGUGCCAACAUAAGCAUCAACACACAAGUCAUAUGUAUAUACAGGCAGGAAAUCGACAUCUUUUGGAAGGAUCCUAAUCCAAGCAUUAUAAUUGAACAUA